rnacentral:rRNA from 1 species
UACGUAGGGGGCAAGCGUUGUCCGGAAUUAUUGGGCGUAAAGCGCGCGCAGGCGGUUUUUUAAGUCUGGUGUUUAAACCUUGGGCUCAACCCAGGGUCGCACGGGAAACUGGGAGACUGGAGUGCAGGAGAGGAAAGUGGAAUUCCACGUGUAGCGGUGAAAUGCGUAGAGAUGUGGAGGAACACCAGUGGCGAAGGCGACUUUCUGGCCUGUAACUGACGCUGAGGCGCGAAAGCGUGGGGAGCAAACAGG